rfam:Phycomyces blakesleeanus NRRL 1555(-) unplaced genomic scaffold PHYBLscaffold_12, whole genome shotgun sequence.
GGCUCUGUAGCGAAAUGGAUUAUCGCGUUAGACUUCGAAUCUAAAGGUUGUGGGUUCGAGUCCCAUCAGAGUCG